rfam:Pseudoalteromonas tunicata D2 1099591001414, whole genome shotgun sequence.
GCAAGUCAAAGGCAAGCCACUUGAAAAAGUAGUCACGCAAAGUUACAGAUCUAAGGGGAAACCUAUGAUGGCUGAACUACCAAA